ensembl:lncRNA
CAGCCUGCGCGCUUUGCGUAGAGUGUGACGAUAGGCUGUGGGAUAGGAAGACGGAAACAAAGGCAAUACCGCCCAACAUUUCCAUACAAAUGUAUUGUAUAUAUUAUUAAGUACGGUCAUACGUAGGCUUAAGGUCGAAGAGCUACAUUCAUCGGAGGGGAGUAGCAAGACAGCUUGUGUAAAGGUUCUUAUCAUGGAGGAUACUGUGAAGAAGGAGCCCAAAAAUGCCCAGGUGCUCUCUCUUGGCCGCAAGGACACCCGUCGCCUCCUCGAUGUGUAUGUGAGGCGCAGCAUCAGUUUAAAUGAUGGGACAUGUGAGGACCAAAUAAAGAAAAACAAGCCUCGGAAGUGGGUGACGCUGUCUAUGAAACACAGGACAGUCUCCCGGCCAAUGAGUGACACCUCACUCACCUUAGGUCCCAGCACACCUCACAAGGACUCUCCCAGCAGCACUCAGCCUGACAGGAAAGUACCAAAUGUGGCUCCAAGAACAAUCUCUGGGCCUGUGGCCAUUACGGAAAUUGAGACUUUUACUGAAACUGAGAAUAAGUCAAAGGAGCACAAGAAGAGGAGCAAAAGAUCCUAUUUAUGGAAAAACUUUCUGGGUUUCUUCUCGAAGAAGGGGAGUGACAAAAAAGAUGAGCAGGACUCACGGACAGAGAAACAUGGACAGUCACAAGGAACUGAGAAAAAGAAAUCCAUAAAGCUGAGGAACUCCACAAAGAAACUAUCCAUAAUAAAGAGCAAGAUUGACAGAGUGUCUGUGAGGAGGAGAUCACAGGCUCGGGACAGGACCAACACUGACAUAACUGGGGUUGAAUCUGUUUUGAGCGUGGUACCUACUGACUCAUACUAUGAGAAAGUGUCUGAAGAACUGGAGAAGAUUGUCCAUGAGGUGAAAGAGAUAGGCACACCUCUUCCAGAUGCCGUUUUGUGCGUGGAACCGACAGAUUCAUACUAUGAGAAAGUGUCUGAAGAGCUGGAAAAAAUUGUGCAUGAAGUGAAAGAGAAACCCACACCUGUUACAGAAGAGGAAGUCAUCAAAAGGAUCAUUGUUCUCAUUAAGCAGCAUGGGGAUGAAAUUGAUUCCAAGGUUUGUCUUUUCAAACUACAAGUAAAUGUCAUUCGAAGUCUUUGACAUAGUGAAAUGUUCACAUUGAGGAUAGAUUGCUAUAGGCUGGGUCCCAGUCUGUUUUGAUAACAUUCCUCUCCAUGUACUGUGUCUAAUGCCAAGCUUCUUUGAAGAAUGACACAGAAUCUAUUUAGAAAAAAAUGUAAUAAUGGUAAUCUUAAUGUUAAUUCUAACACUGUGAGUCUAGGUAUUUGUCAUUUUAUUUUUGCCAUUUUCACAGCAGGAAUGUUCGUCUAGUUGUUUGUGAUGGCACAAAAGACCUGGGUUUUGAUGAAUAAAUAAGGUGUAGUUUAGUGACAAGGCUUUACCCCUAAAAUGGUUUUGCUUCAAGUUGUGUAUAUAGGUCUUUUAUAUGCUGGGCUAUUAAUGAAAAUUUUCGUUAGCCACAUUUUAAGUAGCCUACAUAGACAAAUGUAAGGCUUGUCCCAUAUUUAUAAAAUCUGUUCUGAUGAAUUGCAAUAUAUGGUUUAUUGUAAUGGUUCAUUUUGAAUUACAUUUAUUUUGACAGUAAGCCUUUUGAUUUGGAUUAAAUCUUCUGUAAUAUUUUCCCAUUGCAGAAGGUAUCAGAAAGUUAAUUUCUGAAACACAUUGCAAAAUUCAAGAGAUUCAUGAGCAGAUGUUGUAGCAAGACCCUAUUUUACAUCAUCUGAAGGUUUAUGUUGUGCCUGCCGUUGAUUAAGAUACAUGCUCUUGAAUACAAGAGCUCCGUUUUGGCUCCGUUUUUUUAUUAGUGUUUAUUUUGUAAUUUUAACUAACAUAUUUUUACAUUGUAGUCACAUUUGAAUAAUAAUUGAGUUAUUGUCAGACUCACAAAAAGUGAGCCAUUAUAGUCACAUUUAAUUAAAAUAAAAUCUACCUACUCAUUAAUCUAGCCUACAGAACACUGACUUCAGGGAAUAACUCCCACCACUUGUCAAAUAAGGGUUGAGUUAGCUAUGGGCAGGUAAAUCUGUUGCUUUAACCAGUCAGUUUAGUUGGUAGCCAAUGAGUAUGGAGGCACAAAAACCUUGUUGAGUAGAGUUAGUCAAGACCAAAAUGGAAAAUAGUUUUUUUUCUGAAUAUAUUUAGUCAGUUAUUGUCAUGUCAACUGCCACUGAAAAAAAGGUUUUUGACGGAAAUUUAUGCCACUAUAUUUGUUGACUAAAUUAUCACUGGAAUACAGGUUAGUUGAAAUGUUUAGGUUUAUAAAUGGACAAAACGUAAAAAACUAAAUGUCGACCUGAAUAAAUUAUAUUCAAUUGCUUUAGUAGUAGAUAUAGGAUGCCUGUCAGAAAAAAAGACAACAACUUUAAUUUUAUAAAAGGUUAAUGUCAUGCUCAUUAUGUCAUUAUAUUGCAUUACCACUAAGACCAAGUUAUCUCCAUUAGAAAAUUGGCAAGUUUUUAACAAGACAGCUCAAAUACUUUAAACCCAUCCUUCACUAGGGUUGGACAAAAAGCCGAGCACUGGCUGUUAAAGACCAAAUUGCCAUCAUAUGUGUUUUUGACUAUGGAGUCAGCCAAAACCGGUAGUCAAUACACUGCAAGGAGUGGAAUGUUUGCACAAAACAGGUCCGGAUUUCAGCUUAAAUACAUUUUUGGGAUAAAAUUGUAUUAAAUGCCUUGGUCACUCAAUACACUAUGUCCUGUCUCUGUAGCUGAAGGAGAGCCCCAGCUUAAGUUCAUUUUUCCAGAAGCUGUCCUACAACACGUUCAUGCAAUUGGCUGAUACUUAUGUGGAGACCAAGACACCGAUAGUCCCGAAGCACCAGACACCGCACUGUGCCGACAAUGCUCCGGAGCUGGUCAAGCUUGCCUUCACAAUGGACUUCACAGCCAGGAUGGCCUGUCUGUCCCGACAUUCCACAAGCCACAUCAUGGGCUUAGGCCACCGCUACUUAGAGGACCGCUUCACCCAAACCCAACCAACCACACCAGAGACAGUCUGUUCCAAUGUAUUUAAUUAAGUUCCAGUUCAAACCUGUUUUGCACUGCGACUACAACAUUCCGUACACCAACAAUACAACCUGAAUGCUUUCACCAGGAGAUUCAAGGAAGGCCAAAUACAUUUCAAAUUGACAUGUACUGUAUAUAGCUUCGGAGGUUAAUGCUGACCGGAAGUUGCGAAACCAUGACGAUCCUAAUCAUUGAUGCACAGUGCGAAUGAGAUCUACCUACUGCAGCAGGAACUCUCUGGUGUAACAUGUUACAUGAAAUAAACUAAUUUAGAUCAUGUUAAAAUUAAACCAAGAAGCCCAAAGGGAACAUCCCUUACAGCAGGCUUAAUAGCAGUAAAUGCAUAAGAUUUAGGAGUUAGUAUGUACUAGACCUACAACAACACGUCUGUACCCAUUUAAGGGCUCUGUAAGUACUUACCUGAAUUAAUAAUAGUAAGUACUACGUCUGCUAACUGUAUUGACUCUAACUGCUUACACUUAUACCAGCUACUAGGUGGAGUUAAUUUUGACUGUUCCAAUACAGUAGUGUUUCCUAAUCCUGGGUUCCCAGCAGUACAUACUUAAUUCAAGCAAGACAACAACAACCAGAAAAACCUGAGGUUAAUUGGUGUGUGGUGACAGGGUUAUGAGAUGUACACAGUGCACAAGUAAUUGUGCAAUUAAAUGAAGUUUGUAGAAUACUAGUCAUCAGUUUCAGCAGUGUUUAACUUUUUAUAUUUCCAAUGGAUGAAUAUAUAUAUAUUGAUAUAGAUGUGUAAAAUGAUCUGUUUACUUAUGUAUUCAUAUAAUUGUGUUUAUCAUUUUUAUAU